GAUGAACGCUGGCGGCGUGCCUAAUACAUGCAAGUCGAGCGAACAGAUGAGGAGCUUGCUCCUCUGACGUUAGCGGCGGACGGGUGAGUAACAUGUGGAUAACCUACCUAUAAGACUGGGAUAACUUCGGGAAACCGGAGCUAAUACCGGAUAAUAUAUUGAACCGCAUGGUUCAAUAGUGAAAGACGGUUUUGCUAUCACUUAUAGAUGGAUCCGCGCCGCAUUAGCUAGUUGGUAAGGUACCGGCUUACCAAGGCAACGAUGCGUAGCCGACCUGAGAGGGUGAUAGGCCACACUGGAACUGAGACACGGUCCAGACUACUACGGGAGGCAGCAGUAGGGAAUCUUCCGCAAUGGGCGAAAGCCUUACGGAGCAACGCCGCGUGAGUGAUGAAGGUCUUCGGAUCGUAAAACUCUGUUAUGAGGGAAGAACAAAUGUGUAAGUAACUAUGCACGUCUUGACGGUACCUAAUCAGGAAGCAACGGCUAACUACGUG
rnacentral:rRNA from 1 species